CGUGGGAGUAGGGUGUCAAGCUGUUCGUAAGGAAGGUUGUUUCACUGAGAGAUCUGUGUCACGUAAGGUGCAGUGUGAUGACAUCAUGUAAAGGCAGGAUGUUGUCUUGGGACAACAUUUUCUAGAAGAAUAUUAAACAACAACUAUUUCGUGAAAUGGACUUAGAGGACAAGUGAUUUGUGGCAUGACAAACACUCUUUCCUGACCGGUUUGAAGGGUGAACUAGGCCACCUCACACCCUCAACGUCCCGUUUUUAUGUGGAGAGUGACCUACAUUACUGCCGGAAGGAUGAUCGGCCAUUCAUUUCUGCAUGGGGGUCCCUGCCUCCGUGGAUUGAGCCCGGCUGUGGUCCAUGUUCUUCUUGGGCGAACAGCAGAUACUACCACUGUGGAACUACAUGACUGUCUAAACUUCGAUAUUAUUAGUGUUAAUUAUUGUCAUUCUAAGAACACAAUAUUUAUUGAGUCAAUGUGUCAUUAUAAUAUAGUGUGUGUACAGUGAGGGAAAAAAAGUAUUUGAUCCCCUGCUGAUUUUGUACGUUUCCCCACUGACAAAGA